rnacentral:rRNA from 1 species
UGGGGAAUCUUGGACAAUGGGCGCAAGCCUGAUCCAGCCAUGCCGCGUGGAUGAUGAAGGCCUUAGGGUUGUAAAAUCCUUUCGUUGGGGACGAUAAUGACGGUACCCAAAGAAGAAGCACCGGCUAACUCUGUGCCAGCAGCCGCGGUAAUACAGAGGGUGCAAGCGUUAAUCGGAAUUACUGGGCGUAAAGCGUGCGUAGGUGGUUACUUAAGUCAAAUGUGAAAGCCCCGGGCUCAACCUGGGAACUGCACGUGAUACUGGGUAACUAGAGUAUGGUAGAGGAUGGCGGAAUUUCCGGUGUAGCGGUGAAAUGCGUAGAUAUCGGAAGGAACACCUGUGGCGAAGGCGGUCUACCAGAACACGUUCGACGGUGAGGGAUGAAAGCUGGGGGAGCAAACCGGAUUAGAUACCCAUGUAGUCCCUGAGCGGGCUGGCAAGGCGCAU